rnacentral:rRNA from 1 species
AACGAACGCUGGCGGUAUGCCUAACACAUGCAAGUCGAACGACACCUUCGUGUCUGCUGGCGCACGGGUGCGUAACGCGUGGGAACCUGCCCUUAGGCUUGGAAUAACACCUUGAAAGGGGUGCUAAUACCGGUAAAUGUCUUCGAACAAAAGAUUCAUCGACCUUGUAUGGGCAUGCGAUGGAUUAGCUAGUUGGUAGGGUAAAAGCCUACCACGGCGACGAUCACUAGCUGGGUUGAGAGUAUGAUCAGACACACUUGCACUGAGACACGGCCCAGACUCCUACACGAGGCAGCAGAGCAGGAUAUUGGACAAUGGGCGAAGUGAAGAACCAGCAAUGCCUCUUGAGUGAUGAAGUCCUUAGAGAAGAGCAGCACGUUUACCCGGGAUGAUACUGACGGUACCGGGAGAAUAAGCCCCGGCUAACUCCGUG